CUACGGGGCGCUGCAGUGAGGAAUAUUGCACAAUGGGGGGAACCCUGAUGCAGCAACGCCGCGUGGAGGAUGACGCAUUUCGGUGUGUAAACUCCUUUUAUAUGUCAAGAAAAUGACGGUAGCAUAUGAAUAAGCACCGGCUAACUCCGUGCCAGCAGCCGCGGUAAUACGGAGGGUGCAAGCGUUACUCGGAAUCACUGGGCGUAAAGGACGCGUAGGCGGGUUGGAAAGUCAGGUGUGAAAUCCUACAGCUUAACUGUAGAACUGCACUUGAAACUUCUAAUCUAGAGGAUGGGAGGGGGGGAUGGAAUUAGUGGUGUAGGGGUAAAAUCCGUAGAUAUCACUAGGAAUACCUAAAGCGAAGGCGAUCUCCUGGAACAUUACUGACGCUAAGGCGUGAAAGCGUGGGGAGCAAACAGGAUUAGAUACCCGAGUAGUC
rnacentral:rRNA from 1 species